UGUUGGCCUCCCGCGACGCUAGGUUGUGAACCUGGUCAGGCCCGGAAGGGAGCAGCCACAGCAGCUGACGCGUGCGCCGGGAAUCGCUGGCAGGG
rfam:Endosymbiont of unidentified scaly snail isolate Monju DNA, complete genome.